rnacentral:lncRNA from 1 species
CUCAUUUUUUCAGAUGUUAUUUAUAACUUGCUGCUCUUCGGGUCAUCAUUCCUUGUGUCUGAGCUCCAGUCACUUCCAAGCAUCCCAAACAGGAGCAUGAAUUGCCCUCUCAAAGUUAUGCUUACCCAGCUCACCCAAAGUUAGCUGCACCCAGCACCCCCAAAGGGCUUAGUGCUCAUACAGGGACAUGUGCAGUAAACAGCACUGCAUUGGGAAUGAAAGGAACUGGAGGCAGCCCCAGGCCUUUGACCAGUCUUUGCAGGAGGUCUUUGACCAGUAGCAAAUCACUUCCCCCCAGGCCUGCCUGCUGCCCCUCAAAACCAAUGCCUUAACUCUCUUACAGACUUAGAGCCCUGGAGAGCAAAGGCUCUUGGGAAGUCUACAGUUAUAACAAAACCUAUGGGUUUGUUGAG